GCCUACGAUCAUACCACCCUGAAUACGCCCGAUCUCGUCCGAUCUCGGAAGCUAAGCAGGUUCGGGCCCGGUCAGUACCUGGAUGGGAGACCGCCUGGGAACACCGGGUGCUGUAGGCU
ensembl:rRNA 5S_rRNA 5S ribosomal RNA